CUCAAGCAUGAGUACGCUCUACUGUGUCUCAGAUUAACAUCACCAACGGCCUGGAAUGACUUUAUUAUUCACUUGCUUGCUUAGCAAGUCUCCUUCCCCAUCAGAAAGGAAACUCCACUCAGGAAGCAUCUCUGUCUUGGUGGCUGCUAUAUUCCAGGGCCCGUUGCAUUGCCUGGCCAGUAACUUGGCACUCAAUACGCAUUCUAAAAAAUGAAUGGAUAAAGGAAUGGUAGCUGGGAAGAGGAAUUAGAGAGGGAGAGAAGACACAGCGAGGGACUCUCGCCAGGCAGAGCUGUGAGUAAAACUGUGCAGUAGAGGCUUUCCGAAAAUAAUGAAUCAGAGCUACAAAGGGACCAUGGUCAGUAAUUAAUCCACCAAACUAUUUCUAGGAGAGCAGCCCGCGGCCCCAGGUCAUAGCAAAUAGGGUCCAAGCUAGGUUUUCUCUCUUAGAAGCCACCAGCUUCCCCACUGAGUCACAUUGUCAGAUUCCCCGAUUUCAAGGACCGGCCUCGUCACAUCCACAAAACUUGUCUCAGUUCAUCCCUCAGCAGGGGCCGUCUGAGGCUGGAACACGGAGCCCUUCCCAACAACAGCUGCCCCUGGGUGGAUGUCUGCAGCCAGUCCAGUGGCGGAAUGAGGCUCGCCCAGGAAACCUGCAACCUUGUAUUUUCCCCCGCGACCCUCAACCACACGUCCCAGGUACAAAUCAAAGAAAACAGCGUGCUCAGGUGGAGGGCGUAAUAACAGAUCGGUGGGUGAGUAGAGGCUCGGCUCCAUGAAUUCUGAUCCCAAGCCGCAUUUCUACCUUGAAAGGAGGAAUCUGAGAAAGGUGUGUAGGGCACAGCUCUUCUAAUAGACAGCAG
rnacentral:lncRNA from 1 species